ensembl:lncRNA
CUUCAGUACAUUCGCAGAUGGCACGAAGCUGGGGGCAUUUCAUUAUUGGCUUUGUCCAGAGAGGCUGUGGAUGCCCCGUCCAUCCCUGGAGGUGUUCAAGGCCAGGUUGGAUGGGGCCCUGGGCAGCCUGGGCUGGUAUUACAUGUGGAGGUUGGUGGCCCUGCCUGUGGUGGGGGGUUGGAUGGGGCCCUGGGCAGCCUGGGCUGGUAUUACAUGUGGAGGUUGGUGGCCCUGCCUGUGGUGGGGGGUUGGAGCUUCAUGAUCCUUGAGGUCCCUUCCAACCCAAGCCAUUCUGUAAUUCUGUGAUUAAGGUCACAAGAGACCUGUAAAAUCAAUCAUCAACCCACCACCACUAUGAGCAUCCCCAGGCUGGUGUUGCUGAGCACCGUGACUCGGAGAGCUGCCAAGCUGGACAACUGCUCCUCACUGUCCAGCUUGACCUUUAGGAAUCCAAAGAGCACAUCACAGAUACUGCCAGCCGUGUCUCUUUUUUCCCG